GCAUUGAGUAGAAGCUGUCAAGGCGUCGCCUGGGUCAUUGCUCAACGC
rfam:Endozoicomonas elysicola strain DSM 22380 scaffold00001, whole genome shotgun sequence.